rnacentral:rRNA from 1 species
UUACCGAGUGCGGGUCCUUUGGGCCCAACCUCCCAUCCGUGUCUAUUGUACCCUGUUGCUUCGGCGGGCCCGCCGCUUGUCGGCCGCCGGGGGGGCGCCUCUGCCCCCCGGGCCCGUGCCCGCCGGAGACCCCAACACGAACACUGUCUGAAAGCGUGCAGUCUGAGUUGAUUGAAUGCAAUCAGUUAAAACUUUCAACAAUGGAUCUCUUGGUUCCGGCAUCGAUGAAGAACGCAGCGAAAUGCGAUAACUAAUGUGAAUUGCAGAAUUCAGUGAAUCAUCGAGUCUUUGAACGCACAUUGCGCCCCCUGGUAUUCCGGGGGGCAUGCCUGUCCGAGCGUCAUUGCUGCCCUCAAGCCCGGCUUGUGUGUUGGGUCGCCGUCCCCCUCUCCGGGGGGACGGGCCCGAAAGGCAGCGGCGGCACCGCGUCCGAUCCUCGAGCGUAUGGGGCUUUGUCACAUGCUCUGUAGGAUUGGCCGGCGCCUGCCGACGUUUUCCAACCAUUCUUUCCAGGUUGACCUCGGAUCAGGUAGGGAUACCCGCUGAACUUAAGCAUAUCAAUAAGCGGAGGAAAAGAAACCAACCGGGAUUGCCUCAGUAACGGCGAGUGAAGCGGCAAGAGCUCAAAUUUGAAAGCUGGCUCCUUCGGAGUCCGCAUUGUAAUUUGCAGAGGAUGCUUUGGGUGCGGCCCCCGUCUAAGUGCCCUGGAACGGGCCGUCAGAGAGGGUGAGAAUCCCGUCUUGGGCGGGGUGUCCGUGCCCGUGUAAAGCUCCUUCGACGAGUCGAGUUGUUUGGGAAUGCAGCUCUAAAUGGGUGGUAAAUUUCAUCUAAAGCUAAAUACUGGCCGGAGACCGAUAGCGCACAAGUAGAGUGAUCGAAAGAUGAAAAGCACUUUGAAAAGAGAGUUAAACAGCACGUGAAAUUGUUGAAAGGGAAGCGCUUGCGACCAGACUCGCCCGCGGGGUUCAGCCGGCAUUCGUGCCGGUGUACUUCCCCGUGGGCGGGCCAGCGUCGGUUUGGGCGGCCGGUCAAAGGCCCCUGGAAUGUAGUGCCCUCCGGGGCACCUUAUAGCCAGGGGUGCAAUGCGGCCAGCCUGGACCGAGGAACGCG